GGGAGGCUCAGAUGCACCAGCCGCUACUGCCCCUCAGGCUCUGCCCUCCCUCCUCCUACCCUCCCCCUUGCAGAAAUGCUGGGACGUGGGGCCACGCAGGGGCCGAGCAUAUGUGACACGCGUGUUUCCCAGUGGCUUCCACACUUUCCCACGCUCUCUCCCCAUACCUUAUACUGGUCUCCUACCUUCUAGACGUUUAUUUUCAUCAGUCUGUUGCUUCUUGCCUGGAAUAGGGUUCUCGGAAGUUGGAGACGGAUUUUAGACCAUAGCCCUACCACUUCUGUGUUAGAGUCUCUGUACUACAUACAGUGUUUCUUCUACUGGCUUCUGGUCUUAAGGAUCAGUAUGACACCAAUAAAAAGAAAGGAGAUGGACGUCUGUUGAAUUCCUGCAUGGCCACGCACCGAGCAAAUAGCUGCCCAGUCGAAUCCUCAUUACUUGGUGUUCUUAGAACUCUUUCACGACCUCCUAACCUCACAGACAACCAGCUGGCUUGGUUGCAUUUGUGAGCACCAUCCAUUCCUACCUGGCUAGUUAGCUUAACUCCGAAGUAGGAACUCUGAACCCAGACACUUCCGGUCUGGAUUCUGGCUUGGCUGCCAAAGCCUAACCCCAGAUCAACUGCUUCCUCUUUCUCCAGCUGAGAAUUCUUUUCACAUCCCUUUUGCUAGUACAGAAUGCUCUUCCCUGCUUCUCCUUUGGAGAUUUCAGAAACGAAAGAAAACUUUUUUUAAGUGUUGUAAGGAGGCUAACUUUUGGAGUACAGAAUCUUGGAUUUUGAUCCUGGCUCUGCCUCUUUCUGUGUGGCCUUGGGCAAAUUCAUUGUCUUCUAGCUUUAGCUUGUCUUUGCAUAACAUGGGUGAGUGCCUUCUGACUAGCAGACUCUUGUCUAGUUCUUUCUUACUGUCCUCCAGCAGGCACUCCACGGAUGCCCAGACCCCCUUGCUCCCCAUGGGCAGCUGCCAGGCAGGGCACAACUUGCAUCUCUGUGUGGCUCACCACCCACCUUUGGUCUGUGCCACUUUGAUCCUGCUGCUCCUUGGCCUCUCUGGCCUGGGCCUUGGUGGCUUCCUCCUCACCCAUACAACUGGCCUGCGUAGCCCUGACAUUCCCCAGGAUUGGGUUUCCUUCUUGAGAUCUUUUGGCCAGCUAAGUCUGUGCCCCAUGAAUGAGACAGUCACAGGAAAGUGGCAAGGUCCUCAUGUCGUCGGCUUACUGACCACUUUGAACUUCGGAGAUGAUCCAGACAGAAACAAAACCCAAACAUUCCAAGCCAAGAUCCAUGGUAGUCAGAUAGGAUUGAAAGGGUCCUUUGCCAGAGAGUCUGUCCUUGUCACAGCCAGAGUGGCCUCAGGAAGGACUCCAGGGACCUGCUUGUAUUUUAGUGGAGUUCCAGAAAUCCUGCCCUCUAGCCAACCACCUAUAUCCUGCUCAGAAGAGGGAGCUGGAAAUGCUAUCCUGACCCCAGUGAUGGAUGAGGAGUGUGUCAGGGUCUGGAGCCACGAGCGCCUUGUGCUCACCAAGCUGCUUACUUCAGAGGAGCUAGCUCUGUGUGGCAGCAGACUGCUGGGCUUGGGCUUUUUCCUGGUUCUGCUCUGUGGUUUUCUCUGCUGUGCCACAGCAGUGUGCUUCCAUCCACGCCCAGAAUUCCACUGGUCUAGAACGCGGCUAUGAGGGCGACGGACUGUGCCUCACUCUGCUGUCAGUCCUCUCGAUCUCCCUGUGAGCUGUUCUCCUGUUUUAUCCUGCACGAUUAUACAACCAGUCGUGGCAGCUGUAUGAUUAGUGACUGACGGGGCAAAGUCAAUGAAGUCUAUUGGAGUUACAGAUCAAAUUCUUGGGGCCUACUUCUGAGUUUAGAAGACCUAUUACAAAAAAUGAAGAACUGGACUGUAGGAAAAUAAAUGGCUUUUGACUAC